rnacentral:rRNA from 1 species
AGAGUUUGAUCCUGGCUCAGAUUGAACGCUGGCGGCUUGCUUUACACAUGCAAGUCGAAGGGGGGUGGGGCAACCCUCUUCAGUGGCGAACGGGUGAGUAAUGUAUCGGAACGUAUCCUUAGGUGGGGGAUAACUCCGAGAAAUCGGAGCUAAUACCGCAUGAGAUCUGAGGAUGAAAGCGGGGGACCGUAAGGCCUCGCGCUUGAGGAGCGGCCGAUAUCUGAUUAGCUAGUUGGUGGGGUAACGGCCUACCAAGGCUGCGAUCAGUAGCUGGUCUGAGAGGAUGAUCACCCACACUGGGACUGAGACACGGCCCACACUCCUACGGGAGGCAGCAGUGGGGAAUUUGGACAAUGGGCGCAAGCCUGAUCCAGCCAUGCCGCGUGAGUGAAGAAGGCCUUCGGGUUGUAAAGCUCUUUCGGACAGAAAGAAAUCGCCUGGGCAAAUACCCUGGGUGGAUGACGGUACCGUAAGAAGAAGCACCGGCUAACUACGUGCCAGCAGCCGCGGUAAUACGUGAGGUGCGAGCGUUAAUCGGAAUUACUGGGCGUAAAGCGUGCGCAGGCGGUGAUUUAAGUCAGAUGUGAAAGCCCCGGGCUUAACCUGAGAACUGCGUUUGAAACUGGAUCGCUAGAGUUAGCGGAGGGGGGGUAAAAUUCCC